UCGGGAAUUUUGGGCAAUGGGCGAAAGCCUGACCCAGCAACGCCGCGUGAAGGAUGAAGUAUUUCGGUAUGUAAACUUCGAAAGAAUAGGAAGAAUAAAUGACGGUACUAUUUAUAAGGUCCGGCUAACUACGUGCCAGCAGCCGCGGUAAUACGUAGGGACCAAGCGUUGUUCGGAUUUACUGGGCGUAAAGGGCGCGUAGGCGGCUCUGUAAGUCACUUGUGAAAUCUCUGAGCUUAACUCAGAACGGCCAAGUGAUACUGCAGAGCUAGAGUGUAGAAGGGGCAAUCGGAAUUCUUGGUGUAGCGGUGAAAUGCGUAGAUAUCAAGAGGAACACCUGAGGUGAAGACGGGUUGCUGGGCUGACACUGACGCUGAGGCGCGAAAGCCAGGGGAGCAAACGGGAUUAGAUACCCACGUAGUCCCUGAGCGGGCUGGCAAGGCGCAU
rnacentral:rRNA from 1 species